UAGUCAGAAUCCACUACUCUACCACUAAUGUCUCUUCCAUCCGGCUCUGCAGCACCUGAGCAAAAGACCUCUGCAGCUGAGUCCAAAGAGCAUUCCCAUGUGAACCGAGCAACCAAGUAUCAUCGGAGUGGCUGAGCCUGGGAUUUCCAACUUGGGAGACUACACAGUGGACUCUAUAAUGAUUAGUGGCAGCAUCCAAUGUCUCUUCCAAGUCUAAAAUUUGUGAGUUUCAAAGUUGACUCUCCCCAAACCUGGCCUUUGCUGCCUCAGAUUCUGUCACUCUAGCAAGGCAGAGAGAGCAAAAGGGGCAAGACAAACCUCAUCAACAGCACAGAAAUCCCAGAAUCACACACUCUCUGGUCCAGCCAAGCCAAGUGUUUUUUUUUUUGUUGUUGUUGUUGUUUUUUAAAUCACCCUCCAUUACUCAACAUUCUCGUUCCCAGAUGAAUUUUAAACUGGAGUUGCACCAACUGUGAGACAGCCU
ensembl:lncRNA C1orf50-AS1 C1orf50 antisense RNA 1